rnacentral:rRNA from 1 species
UACGAAGGGGACUAGCGUUGCUCGGAAUCACUGGGCGUAAAGCGCACGUAGGCGGAUUGUUAAGUCAGGGGUGAAAUCCUGGAGCUCAACUCCAGAACUGCCUUUGAUACUGGCGAUCUCGAGUCCGGGAGAGGUGAGUGGAACUGCGAGUGUAGAGGUGAAAUUCGUAGAUAUUCGCAAGAACACCAGUGGCGAAGGCGGCUCACUGGCCCGGUACUGACGCUGAGGUGCGAAAGCGUGGGAGCAAACAGGG